AGUUAUUUGCGAUGUUGGACCGGUUCAAUCAGAAAACACUGCCCAGAAAUUGCUGGGUCGUGUGCUUUGAUUGAGCCGCGCCAAUAUCCCAGAGCUUCUC
rfam:Amborella trichopoda AMTR_V1.0_contig_40027, whole genome shotgun sequence.